rnacentral:rRNA from 1 species
GUCUACAGCCAUGCCACCCUGAACAAGCCCGAUGUCUGAUCUCGGAAGCAAAGUAGGGUUGGGCCUGGUUAGUACUUAGAUGGAAGACCACCUAGGAAGACCAGGUGCUGUAGGCG